CGAAAGGAGUAUUCCGUACUCUUCAACCCUUUGUGAACCUACCAUUGUCAGUUGCUUCGGCGGGAGGCCCCUGGGAGGGGCCCCGGGGCCCGGCCUGAGCCGGGUUCCCGCCGGAGGAGCGCAAACCAAAACUCUUGUUGUACCUCAGUGGCACCUCCGAGUCAAAACAAAUAAACAAGUUA
rnacentral:misc_RNA from 1 species